UACGUAGGGGGCUAGCGUUGUCCGGAAUCAUUGGGCGUAAAGCGCGUGUAGGCGGCCCGGUAAGUCCGCUGUGAAAGUCGGGGGCUCAACCCUCGGAAGCCGGUGGAUACUGUCGGGCUCGAGUAUGGGAGAGGAUGAGGGAAUUCCUGGUGUAGCGGUGAAAUGCGUAGAUAUCAGGAGGAACACCGGUGGCGAAAGCGAGUCUCUGGACAAUUCCUGACGCUGAGGCACGAAAGCUAGGGGAGCAAACGGG
rnacentral:rRNA from 1 species